rnacentral:rRNA from 1 species
UUGAACGCUGGCGGCGUGGAUUAGGCAUGCAAGUCGAACGGGAAAGGAGGGGCAACUCUCCCGGUCACCGUGGCGUAAGGGCGAGGAAUACAUGGCUAACCUGCCUUCGAGAGGGGGAUAACCCACCGAAAGGUGAGCUAAUACCGCGUAAUGUGCGAUCCCAUAAGGGGUUGUACCAAAGACAGCCUCUGCUUUUGCAAGCUGUCGCUCGAAGGAGGGGGCCAUGUCCUAUCAGCUAGUUGGUAGGGGUAACGGCCUACCAAGGCUAUGGACGGGUACCCGGCCUGAGAGGGUGGUCGGGCGCAUCGGAAACUGAGACACUGUCCGGACUCCUACGGGAGGCUGCAGUCGAGAAUCUUCGGCAAUGGGCGCAAGCCUGACCGAGCGACGCCGCGUGGAGGAUGAAGGCCUUCGGGUUGUAAAACUCCUGUCGCUUGUUAAGAAACGACUCCGGUCGAACAGGCCGGAGUCUUGACGUUAGCAAGAGAGGAAGCACCCGCUAACUCCGUGCCAGCAGCGGCGGUAAGACGGAGGGUUGCAAGCGUUAUUCGGAGUUACUGGGCUUAAAAGGGCACGUAGGCGGGCCGUGUGCGUCCGUGGUGAAAUCCCUCGGCUUAACCGAGGAACUGCUGCGGAAACUGCACGGCUUGAGGGUGGGAGGGGUAAGCCGGAAUUCCCGGUGGAGCGGUGAAAUGCGUAGAUAUCGGGAGGAACGCCGGUGGCGAAGGCGGCUUACUGGUCCAUUCCUGACGCUGAGGUGGCGAAAGCCAGGGGGAGCAAACGGGAAUUAGAUACCCCGGUAGGUCCUGGCCGUAAACGGUGGGCACUAAGUAUCGGGGGGGCCUGAGCCCUUCGGUACUGGAGCGAAAGCGUUUAAGUGCCCCGCCUGGGGAGUAUAGCCGCAAGGCUGAAACUCAAAGAAAUUGACGGGGGGCUCGCAACAAGCGGUGGAGGAUGUUGUUAUAAUUCGAUGCAACGCGCAGAAACCCUACCAGGGCCUUGACAUGCUGGAAUUAGUUCCCUGAAAGGGGGAUGGACGCCCGAAAGGGUGGAGCCAGCACAGGUGUUGCAACGGCUGUCGUCAGCUCGUGUCGUGAGAUGUCGGGUUUAAGUCCCUUAACGAGCGGAAAACCCUUGUCCCUAGUUGCCAGCGGGAAAGCCGGGCACUUUAGGGAGACUUGCCGCUGUGAAGCGGAGGAAGGCGGGGAUGACGUCAAGUCAUCGUGGCCCUUAUGCCCUGGGCUACAAACGUCCUACAAUGGCCGGUACAGAGGGAAGCAAAAGCCGCGAGGCGGAGCAAAACUCCAAAAAGCCGGUCCCAGUUCGGAUUGCAGGCUGCAACUCGCCUGCAUGAAGCUGGAAUCGCUAGUAAUCGCAGAUCAGCUACGCUGCGGUGAAUAUGUUCCCGAGGCCUUGUACACACCGCCCGUCAAGCCACCCGAGUUGGGGGUACCAGAAAGCCCGCAUCCAACCCGCAAGGGAGGAAAAGGCUUAAGGUAAAACCAGUGAGGGGGACU